rnacentral:rRNA from 1 species
GACGAACGCUGGCGGCGUGCCUAAUACAUGCAAGUCGAGCGGACUUUCAAGAAGCUUGCUUUUUGAAAGUUAGCGGCGGACGGGUGAGUAACACGUGGGCAACCUGCCUGCAAGACGGGGAUAACUCCGGGAAACCGGGGCUAAUACCGGAUAAUAUCUUCCUUCGCAUGAAGGAAGGUUGAAAGGCGGCGCAAGCUGCCGCUUGCAGAUGGUCCCGCGGCGCAUUAGCUAGUUGGUGAGGUAACGGCUCACCAAGGCGACGAUGCGUAGCCGACCUGAGAGGGUGAUCGGCCAAACUGGGACUGAGACACGGCCCAGCAUCCUACGGGAGGCAGCAGUAGGGAAUCUUCCGCAAUGGACGAAAGUCUGACGGAGCAACGCCGCGUGAGCGAAGAAGGGCUUCGGAUCGUAAAGCUCUGUUGUCAGGGAAGAACAAGUACCGUUCGAACAGGGCGGUACCUUGACGGUACCUGACCAGAAAGCCGCGGCUAACUACGUG